CCAAUAGCGUAUAUUAAAGUUGUUGCAGUUAAAAAGCUCGUAGUUGAACUUCGGGGUUUACCCAUUGGUCAGGCUUAAUUGUCUGUACUGGUGAGAUGAAUCUCUACCUUCUGAGGAACUUUCAUGCCAUUUAUUUGGUGUGAUUGGAAAUCAGGACUGUUACUUUGAAAAAAUUAGAGUGUUUAAAGCAGGCUAACGUCUGAAUACAUUAGCAUGGAAUAAUGAAAUAGGACGGACUGAUUCUAUUUCGUUGGUUUCUAGGAUCACCGUAAUGAUUAAUAGGGAUAGUUGGGGGCAUUAGUAUUCAAUUGUCAGAGGUGAAAUUCUUGGAUUUAUUGAAGACUAACUACUGCGAAAGCAUUUGCCAAGGAUGUUUUCAUUAAUCAAGAACGAAAGUUAGGGGAUCGAAGACGAUCAGAUACCGUCGUAGUCUUAACCAUAAACUAUGCCGACUAGGGAUCGGACGAAGUUAAUUUUAUAAUGACGCGUUCGGCACCUUACG
rnacentral:rRNA from 1 species